rnacentral:lncRNA from 1 species
AAUAAAACAUUUUUUACCCACAGAAAAUGUGGUCCCUUAGAGGAGAAGCAAGGUCCUGAGCCAAACUUUAUAAUGUACGUUCCUAGGAGGGAAAGCGAGGGAAAUUCAGUCCACCGCUCUGCCUGCCUGCCUGCCUGCCUGCCUGCCUGAGGAGUUGCAGUGCAGAGUAUCAUUGCAGCGCUUUUCCAGGGAGUAACGUGCUGCACUGGUUCAGGGCUUUGUCUUUAUUCACAACACAUUCAUGUGCCUCAGCAUGGGGGCAGCUGCACUGUUGCCUGCCAGCCUGUCCUCUUUGACUGCCGAAUGAACCAAAGGAUAACUCUCCAUUCGUGAGAGAGAGUGAGCUACAGAGGAAGAAAGACCACGCAAAAGGGAGGGGGAGAGAGGGGGGCGAAGAGGAUGUUCUCCGGCUCACUCCUACAUUAGGUCUCUGUGCAAAGGCAGAGGCUGUGGGAGCAGCAUCAAGCAAGACUUCGGGCAGUGAUUCUAACUAUUGCCUAUGAACACCGUGGCUGGGACGACUUUGACGAGGCAAUUUAUUACUUACGCAUAGAACACUGGCUGUGCUGAAACUGGGAGCGCAAACAGCCCCUUGUUUUCUAAUUUAGAGACUUGCAUCUUUUCGACACUCAACAGUAUCAAGACACUCUGCUACUACAGAUUGAUUUCCACCAUCAACACCUUUACCUCUUCCCGCCUGAAAAUAAAAUAUGAAAUAUAACAAGUAAAUCGCAAUCUACCUUGAAUCUUCUGGAGAGGAAAGAAGAAACCAUGUCUAGACAAGGUGCUGGAAAGACCCAGGGAAGACACAGGCUUUGGUAUCAGGAUGAUGCUGGCCUCACAAAAUGAGUUAGGGAGGAUUCCCUCUUUUUCUAUUGAUUGGAAUAGUUUCAGAAGGAAUGGUACCAGCUCCUCCUUGUACCUCUGGUAGAAUUCGGCUGUGAAUCCAUCUGGUCCUGGACUUUUUUUGGUUGGUAAGCUAUUAAUUAUUGCCUCAAUUUCGGAGCCUGUUAUUGGUCUAUUCAGAGAUUCAACUUCUUCCUGGUUUGGCCUUGGGAGGGUGUAUGUGUCGAGGAAUUUAUCCAUUUCUUCUAGAUUUUCUAGUUUAUUUGCGUAGAGGUGUUUAUAG